AAAACGCAUGCGCAUAGCUCAAAGUCAAACCGAAAGUGCAACAAAUUAAGAGCAGGAAUGGGGGCGUCUAGAAGCACACCGGUUUGGGCUAGUCGGGUCUCAUAUUACCCGGAAGUUGACAAAAAUUCAAAUGGUAUGAUUGCCACGAGUCGCACUAUACUGAACGAAAAGGAAAUGAUGGAAGACUCAAGGGAGAGUAUAUUAGACGUCUAUUCCUACAAAGUUCCACUCAUCAAUAUCACAGGAACAUGUCGGUGGUUUUAUCACAGAUUUGUCGUAUUUAAAACGAAUAGUUGGUGGUGGUCCAUAGAGAAGAAUGCUAAAGAAAUAAUAAUACAAAGAAGCGAGAAUGAAACAGCAGUUAGAGACAGAAUUCUAGGCGAAAAAAGAAGCAAUGGGGCAAAAAUAACACUAGAAAAAAAGGAUUCUUCAAAUGUGAAUGUAAAAGCCCUUUUAGAGAUGCUGGAUUAUGAAAACGAGACGUUUAACAAGUACCAUUUGCUUGAAAGCAAUUGUCAAGCGUUUGGAAAGCGCAUUUUUGAGUAUAUCCGGAUAAAAAGCAUGACGGGAAAGAUAGCGUAAAUUGUUUGUAAAAUACACGAAGAAUUCACAUAUAUCAGAUAUAAGGACUGUCUACACCAUAUACUCAGUGGUAUGUUAAUGGUCAAAUUGUUUAUAGAUAAUGAACAAUGAAGAAAACACUAGACAUGUUUUGGGAGUAUUAAAUACUGCCUAUUUACAACCUAAACUUUGCUAAUUUCGAAGUGUCGGAGGUGAGACUGGGUAUAUUUACAUGUGUGUGUAAUUUGUGUACCUAAUAAAAUAUCGCCAAAACAACCGCCAACUAGAAGUAGAUUAAGUAACGCCUCACCAUCAUAAGUGACUGACUAUGCCAUAAAACCUUGAAAACGGAUUUUAUCAAGCUGAAUGCUAGUAUUUCUCAUGCAUUUAGAUUACUGAUACAAUCUAAAUUAAAUUGACACUUUGUUGAAAAGAAGUUUUCUUAUAACCUGAUAAACAUUUACAUUGUUAUACUUCAAGAUCAUAUUACUAGAUUCUACUGGUUGUUGUACGAGUAUUGUUAACUACACUUAUUUUUAUGUGAGGUUUUUCUUUUUGCUACUUAUCUUCAUGACAAGCGCAAAUUUUUAUACGAGACGGGCGCUUCUAAAGCUUUUUGACGGGUAGAUAUAUUUUGUGUUAUAAACCCUUUUCAAAUGCUAAAAGAAAGCAUAUUAGAAUGAAGGACUGAAAUUUGUUUAGGUUUGAAAACAAAGCUGACAUACCUGUUUUAGUACUUAAAUGUGAUAUAUAUAUAUUGUGACCUCUUUGCAUUUAAAAGCCUAUGUAUUGCGCAUUAUGUUAAAAAUCUUUUAUGUUCCUUUAGUGGUACUUUUAACAAUAAUGGAGUUGAUCAGAAUUUCACAUUUAAAUGAGCUCUCAUGUGAUACUUGCUACUUUAUAACCACUAUCUCUUUAUUUGUCUUGUCUUUUAGCAGUUUGUUUGUGCAAUUGGUGUAGAUAAGGAUAUUAUAUAAUUUUAACAUAAUUAUAUUUUAAUUAAUAUGUAAACUCAAAUAAUUUGGUAUUUAUGAAUUAUGCAGACUUCUAAGUCGUAAUUUGUUUUUAAGCUAUGUACUAAUGAAAUUAUUUUACUUACAACACUUGUUUUCAGUACUCUGAUACAAAACUCAGUCAAAGCUUAUGUUGCAUUUUUAUAUGUCUUGCCGACUUAAAAUAAAACUUAUCUUGUGUACAAAGAAAAAAAAAUGGUGUGUAUAUCAGUCGAAAAGAAUGCUAAUUGAUAAAAGUUGUAGGCGUGUUAAAGUGGAAAUAAAAUUUGUAAAACGAUCCUUUGGAAGCAAAAAAUGCAACCAAGAAGCAUAAUAGCAGACUCGGUUUGAUUGAGUCUGUUCAUGAGAGGUAAUGAAAUAUGCAACACCUCUCACGUCCCUAGCAGCGGCUUAAGCGGAACUCUAUUACAAAUAUGUUGAAUGGACUCCAUGAUCCCAAAGAACCAAAAAUAUAACAAGACUGAAUCCAAGUACGGGGAGACAUUUUACAGUCGCCACACGGCACUUAAAGAUUGCUGUUGUGAUAGUUAAUAAAAGCUGUAAAAAGAUCCUUUGGAAGCAAAGAAUGCAACAAAGAAGAAUAAUUGCAGACUCCGUUUGAUUGAGUCUGUUAAUGAGAGGUAAUGAAAUGUGCAACACCUCUCACACCCCCUAGCACCGGCUUAAGCGGAACUCUAUUACAAAUAUGUUGAAUGGACUCCAUGAUCCCAAAGGACCAGAAAAUAUAACAACACUGAAUCCAAGCACUGGGAGACUUUUUACCUUCUCGUCGGAUCUCUCGUUGACAAGGCUUCUGGCAAACUUGACAUAGUCACCGAAUUUUCUUAGAAACUGUUUAAGACGGUACACACGUCAUUGAUACAGACAACAUGUUUCAGACUAUUUUUUUAAAUUAUUAUGUGAAGCAUUGUCUAAAUGAUGAAAUUAUUUUUAUAGUUUUAUAAAGUCAUUGUUCCGCUCUAAAUAGACCAAUUACCAGGGAUGAGGUAAGAAGGCUACGUUUAAUGUAAAGCUUGGCAAAGCUUGUGGACUCGAGGAAACUUUUUUUAUAGAAAUUCUUCGAAAUAAUACUGUACUGAUCAGGUAUGAAAGUGCCCAAUCAGACCCAUUACAGUACAGUGAUAUAACACUUCUUCCUUAUAACUUUUGAAUAAAGAAGAUCAACCCAAAUGUGUACCAUGUCAAACACCGCUAACUAUUAAACACAUUUUAAUCGACUGUGUGGACUUUGCUACACAACGCAGUACAUAUUAUGACGUUCAAUCUUUGAGAGAAUUAUUUGACAAAGUUCAGUUGGAAAUAUUUUAUCUUUUUUAAAGCAGAUAGGAAUAUAUCAAAGGAUCUAACACUUCUUAUAUUUAUUUACAUCUUGCAAUAUUAUUAUGUUUGCAGCUGAUAUUUUAACACACACGUACAUACAUUUUUACAUUACUGUUUUUAGAUAUGCUUUACAUUAUUACAUGGAUGCUUUUAGAUAUGUUUUACAUUAUUCAUAGUGUUCUUUACAUUUUUACAUGGAUGUUUUUAGGUAUGCUUUACAUUUUUACAUCAAUGUUUAGGCUUUACAGUUGGCGUUUGCAAUAUGACUUCUUCUCGGCGGUAUAUGACCAUUUUGUGUCGAUUCGCCGUAAAACCCAACUCACUCACUCACUCACUCUUCCUUGUAAAAUUUGUGCACAUAUUAGAUUGGGAGACUUAAAGCUCAAAAUGUAUUGUGUGGCAAACAAAACGGUUUUACAGGUAAUCGAAGUUGCCUUGAUCAUGUUUAUUCUCUGUAGAACUUGAUGAAUAAUUGUAAACAUGAUACAAAUGUACAUAUGCAUAUUUUGUUGAUGCACGUCAUGUAUAUAAAAUGGCAAGCGAGAUUGUUUGUGGUUUAAAGUUAGGACAAUUAGUAUACAUUGGUAUGCAUAUUUAACAUAUACAUUGAUAAAUUUAGUAAUACAUUGAAGGAAGAAGAAAGUAAAAAUAUUUAUCAACGAAACUAUUUGGGUUGAAUAUUCACUAUGAAAAAGCACCAUUGUUGACCAUAGUUGACAAAGAAUUCAGUAUCACAUCAGUCAAUUAGCCUAAGAUAAGAUAUUUUACAUUAGUCUUUCCUGGUGUACCCUCGAAGAGUUAAAGGAGUUUGCAGUCUUACGCUAAAAAUGUGAUAAUUCUUACAUAAGUGAAAAAGAAUAAAACCCCAUAGAACUGUUAUUGUGUCUGACCUAUUUAUUUCAUCAGAAUAUUUCUUCGACUACAUGUGACACAAUGUAUUGAAGAUAGUCUUGCCAGUGAGUCUUGUGAGUCCCUUCAAUUCAAAGUUGAAGAUGGUUGCAAGCGACACCAUUGGCAGUCAACGAAAUCAUUUUCAUGUUAAUAACAUUUCUGAGUCCGGUCGAUGUUUCCCGGGAAUGAGCUAAACAUAUCGUGUAUAACUGUGAAUUGGCUGGAUAUGUUUUUGCUUAAUAUAUAGGGCUAGCUAUUUGUAGUUUUCGACAGUCCGACACUGAGCCGCGGACAAAUAUUGCCAUACAAUUCAAUAUUGAAUACAUGUGAAUAAACAGUAUAA